UACAGAGGGGGCGAGCGUUGUUCGGAAUUACUGGGCGUAAAGGGCGCGUAGGCGGCCACCGCAAGUCGACUGUGAAAUCUCCGGGCUUAACCCGGAAAGGUCAGCCGAUACUGCGGGACUAGAGUGCAGAAGGGGCAACUGGAAUUCUCGGUGUAGCGGUGAAAUGCGUAGAUAUCGAGAGGAACACCUGCGGCGAAGGCGGGUUGCUGGGCUGACACUGACGCUGAUGCGCGAAAGCUAGGGGAGCGAACGGG
rnacentral:rRNA from 1 species